UGGGUGGAAGUUCACCCAACUCAGAGUAUUCUUUAUAUGGUGACAAAACAAGAAAGAAGCAUUCAGAAGUCUUUUAUUGGUAUCUAAAUGUUUUUAGUUUGGAUUUCUAGAUCAAAACCUCAGGUUCUGCGAAUCCGGCUGCAAGUAGAACAUUCUUCCACACAUAGUCAGUAUUACGGCAACUUUCUUGCAAUGGCCUCACUUUUGCUGGUGACCGUUAGCCAUUGGCACCCUGCUGUUUACAAUUUUCUUCUCAGGAGCCAGAAAUUUUAAGAAGUUUGGCACAGAAGAGGAAGAGUGAAGCUUUUUCUGUAGAGCAGAACGGUAGGAGGUGCUGAGAGUAGUUGAAAGGGGGAAGUUCAGAAGGAGGAAGUGUAAGUAUACCAGGUGAAAUUGAGAACAAAAACACAAAACAGGAAAAAAAACUGAUCAGUAUUAAACCAGAAAAAUAAUAAUAAUUGUAGGUGUUAAAACAAAUAACAAACCAGAAAAAUAAAACUUGUAGGUGUUAAAACAAAUAACAAGAAAUCGAAGGCUAACAUUGCAAGACAUUUUACGUCUCUUUAUGGCUUUAUUUAUAGGGACCCAGGUGGCGCUGUGGGUUAAACCACAGAGUCUAGGGCUUGCUGAUCAGAAGGUCGGCGGUUUGAAUCCCUGCAACGGGGUGAGCUCCCGUUGCUCGGUCCCAGCUCCUGCCCACCUAGCAGUUCGAAAGCACAUCAAAGUGCAAGUAGAUAAACAGGGACCGCUACGGCGGGAAGGUAAAUGCCGUGUCCGUGCGCUGCUCUGGUUCACCAGAAGCAGCUUUGUCAUCCUGGCCACAUGACCUGGAAGCUGUCUGUGGACGAAUACCGGCUCCCUCGGCCUAUAGAGCGAGAUGAGCGCCGCAACCCGAGUCGGACACAACUGGACCUGAUGGUCAGGGGCCCCUUUACCUUUAGGGCUUUAUUCCAAAUCAGCAAUGGAUACAAAACCUCACUUCUUGGACUUUUGAAUCAGUGGGAGGAGAAAUCACCUUGGCUUUCACCUGCCCCUCAGAAAUGAGAGGGGUAGCAGUGGUUUCUUUUGGGUUGGUCUCAUGAAAUAGAAGGGAAAUGUGGCAGGAAAAUCACCAAAUAUGAUGGUUUGUGUAGGGCUGCCAUGUGACCCUUACAUGAAAUUUACUUGAAUUAAGAAGAUUUAGGCUGGAUCCAUGUAUUUUUUUUCCUAGCACCAAGUGUGCAGCAAACAAAUGCAUUUUAACUUUCUUCCUCUCCUGCCUUCUUGAUGUAAUAGUCGGGAGAGAGUCGUCAAGUGGACAUUUAAGGUCAAUCUAUUCCCACUGCUUUUCUCAAGCUUUGCAGUAGCAUAGUAAACCAUAAUCUGAGUGUGGGAUAAUGACACUACAGGAAAGCUUCAAAAGAUGCACCUCAGAGUAGGGAAAAAGUCCACUCCUUUUCCUCAAACUACAUAGCCCACCAAAGGUUGUGAGAACUUAUUUUUACUUCCACAUAAAGGAAAAACCUCAAAUGAAGCACGAAAAGCACGUCAAUAUAGGUGAAACCAUGAAACCACUGGGGUUUCUGGUGGUUUUUAUGUUUUGAAAUGUUCUUUAAAAUGCGGAUCAUAAACAAACUCCCCACAUCUCUUCUCUCACCUCUUUGGCACAGCAUGCCCACUUUGUUCUCCACUUGAAUUAUGCCUAAAAUGUUUAAAGAAAUUGGGCGAAGAGGCCGAGGGAUUAAGACGAGCUGGAGGAGGAGAAGGAGGAGGAGCCGGUGAUGACUGAUCAGAAGAACUUUUAGAGCUGCUGCCAGGUGUGUUCAUAUUUUACAAGGAGGGUUCCAGCAGGGAAGAUUAAACAAAAGGUAAGACAGAAAGAAACGUGACAAAUCAAAGAAAACAUUGAAUAUUUACAGAUAAAUUGUAAACAGAUAAGAACAUUGGCAGGAUUACUGUAAUAAUCUGCAGUUUUAUAAGAUUUUAUAUUUAAAGUAGAUGAAUAAAUGAGCAAAUUAAGUUAAUUUGGAUAUGCAGAAGAUAUUAAAAAUAAAUUUAAGGAACUGCAGAAAGAGGGGGAAGGAAGUCAAGUUUUGAAAUGUUAAAGUGAUUGUAAAAUUAGUGAAAUGUAUAAAUCUGAAAAGCAUAAAUAAAAUUUAAAAAAGACAAAAAGAAAAGGGCAAAGAGCUGAAUUAAAAAAAGAUGCACUACAUCACUGCCUUUGUAUUAACCAUGUUAAAUAACAGCACAGGCACCAGGGACAAUGGGAGUGCUCUUCCAUUGAUUCUGCCUCCUCCAUGGUGCCUGGCUUAACCAAAAAGAUCUUCUGAUGUCCCUAGUAAGAAGGCAGACAUAUGGCAAUCAAAUAGGCAGCAAACACAAACCAGUGCUUUACUUCUUGGAAUGAUCCUCUUCUAGCCCUAAACAAGCCAAGAUUACCUGGCUCAUUUUCUCAACGCUCAUGUGAGCAACAGGAGCACAGCUUCCAAGACUGUGGGAAGGCUUUGCAGUCCAGAAAGGAUGAUUGCUGGUUUCUCCUACAUAUAUUUCCCAGCCUGCAUCAGGCCUUGAGUUGUCAACAAGGUUUUAUUGCCAAGGCUUUGACGUACGGAUUCUGAACAAUUUCCAUGCCCAUUAGCAACCACACCCAACAGACCAGGCGAUAAAGCAGGGUCAGGACUGUUGAUGCAAUAUGUAUAGUGGAGGGAUGCCUAAACAUUUUGAAACAUGUUAAUGCUCUUUGGGGGGAUGCAUUUCUGGUGUCAUUCUAAGGAGCUAAUGUGGGAAGAAGUUCCCUUGAAGAAUUGUGUACCGUAAUUGCAACACAAAUGCAGGAUCAAGUUCCUAGCAAUUUAAGGAUAAAUAAAUCUGAAUUUAGCAGAUUUAACAUUAAAGUGAUGCACACCUUAUUUGGUUUUUGCAUAACCAAAGGUCAGAGCAAAGAACAUUUGACUAUAUGUGCUUGAAGCAAUGGAAGUAUAUUAUAGUCUAAAGUUAAACUUAGCAUGGCUUUUUUAUAUA